rnacentral:rRNA from 1 species
AGAGUUUGAUCAUGGCUCAGAUUGAACGCUGGCGGCAGGCCUAACACAUGCAAGUCGAACGGUAACAGGAAGCAGCUUGCUGCUUUGCUGACGAGUGGCGGACGGGUGAGUAAUGUCUGGGAAACUGCCUGAUGGAGGGGGAUAACUACUGGAAACGGUGGCUAAUACCGCAUAACGUCGCAAGACCAAAGAGGGGGACCUUCGGGCCUCUUGCCAUCAGAUGUGCCCAGAUGGGAUUAGCUAGUUGGUGAGGUAACGGCUCACCAAGGCGACGAUCCCUAGCUGGUCUGAGAGGAUGACCAGCCACACUGGAACUGAGACACGGUCCAGACUCCUACGGGAGGCAGCAGUGGGGAAUAUUGCACAAUGGGCGCAAGCCUGAUGCAGCCAUGCCGCGUGUAUGAAGAAGGCCUUCGGGUUGUAAAGUACUUUCAGCGGGGAGGAAGGUGUUGCGGUUAAUAACCGCAGCAAUUGACGUUACCCGCAGAAGAAGCACCGGCUAACUCCGUGCCAGCAGCCGCGGUAAUACGGAGGGUGCAAGCGUUAAUCGGAAUUACUGGGCGUAAAGCGCACGCAGGCGGUCUGUCAAGUCGGAUGUGAAAUCCCCGGGCUCAACCUGGGAACUGCAUUCGAAACUGGCAGGCUUGAGUCUUGUAGAGGGGGGUAGAAUUCCAGGUGUAGCGGUGAAAUGCGUAGAGAUCUGGAGGAAUACCGGUGGCGAAGGCGGCCCCCUGGACAAAGACUGACGCUCAGGUGCGAAAGCGUGGGGAGCAAACAGGAUUAGAUACCCUGGUAGUCCACGCCGUAAACGAUGUCUACUUGGAGGUUGUGCCCUUGAGGCGUGGCUUCCGGAGCUAACGCGUUAAGUAGACCGCCUGGGGAGUACGGCCGCAAGGUUAAAACUCAAAUGAAUUGACGGGGGCCCGCACAAGCGGUGGAGCAUGUGGUUUAAUUCGAUGCAACGCGAAGAACCUUACCUGGUCUUGACAUCCACGGAAGUUUUCAGAGAUGAGAAUGUGCCUUCGGGAACCGUGAGACAGGUGCUGCAUGGCUGUCGUCAGCUCGUGUUGUGAAAUGUUGGGUUAAGUCCCGCAACGAGCGCAACCCUUAUCCUUUGUUGCCAGCGGUCCGGCCGGGAACUCAAAGGAGACUGCCAGUGAUAAACUGGAGGAAGGUGGGGAUGACGUCAAGUCAUCAUGGCCCUUACGACCAGGGCUACACACGUGCUACAAUGGCGCAUACAAAGAGAAGCGACCUCGCGAGAGCAAGCGGACCUCAUAAAGUGCGUCGUAGUCCGGAUUGGAGUCUGCAACUCGACUCCAUGAAGUCGGAAUCGCUAGUAAUCGUGGAUCAGAAUGCCACGGUGAAUACGUUCCCGGGCCUUGUACACACCGCCCGUCACACCAUGGGAGUGGGUUGCAAAAGAAGUAGGUAGCUUAACCUUCGGGAGGGCGCUUACCACUUUGUGAUUCAUGACUGGGGUGAAGUCGUAACAAGGUAACCGUAGGGGAACCUGCGGUUG